rnacentral:rRNA from 1 species
GAUGAACGCUGGCGUCGUGCCUAAUACAUGCAAGUCGAGCGAACAGACGAGGAGCUUGCUCCUCUGACGUUAGCGGCGGACGGGUGAGUAACACGUGGAUAACCUACCUAUAAGACUGGGAUAACUUCGGGAAACCGGAGCUAAUACCGGAUAAUAUAUUGAACCGCAUGGUUCAAUAGUGAAAGACGGUUUUGCUGUCACUUAUAGAUGGAUCCGCGCCGCAUUAGCUAGUUGGUAAGGUAACGGCUUACCAAGGCAACGAUGCGUAGCCGACCUGAGAGGGUGAACGGCCACACUGGAACUGAGACACGGUCCAGACUCCUACGGGAGGCAGCAGUAGGGAAUCUUCCGCAAUGGGCGAAAGCCUGACGGAGCAACGCCGCGUGAGUGAUGAAGGUCUUCGGAUCGUAAAACUCUGUUAUUAGGGAAGAACAAAUGUGUAAGUAACUAUGCACGUCUUGACGGUACCUAAUCAGAAAGCCACGGCUAACUACGUG